CGGGAUACCCGAGGGAAACUUCGGUUAAUACGGUAUAAGACCACACUACCGCAUGGUAGAGGGGUAAAAGGGGCAACCUGGUAUGAGAUGGACUCGCGUCGCAUUAGCUAGUUGGUGAGGUAACGGCCCACCAAGGCGACGAUGCGUAGCCGACCUGAGAGGGUGAUCGGCCACAUUGGGACUGAGAUACGGCCCAGACUCCUACGGGAGGCAGCAGUGGGGAAUAUUGGGCAAUGGAGGAAACUCUGACCCAGCAAUGCCGCGUGAAUGAAGAAGGUCUUCGGAUUGUAAAGUUCUUUAGUCAGGGAAGAAGUCAAUGACGGUACCUGAAGAAUAAGCUCCGGCUAACUACGUGCCAGCAGCCGCGGUAAUACGUAGGGAGCAAGCGUUGUUCGGAAUGACUGGGCGUAAAGGGUGCGUAGGCGGUUGUACAAGUUAGAAGUGAAAUACCCAGGGCUUAACUCGGGUGCUGCUUCUAAAACUGUAUGACUUGAGUGCAGUAGAGGUUAGUGGAAUUCCUAGUGUAGCGGUGGAAUGCGUAGAUAUUAGGAGGAACACCAGAGGCGAAGGCGGCUAACUGGACUGCAACUGACGCUGAGGCACGAAAGUGUGGGGAGCAAACAGGAUUAGAUACCCUGGUAGUCCACACUGUAAACGAUGGAUACUAGAUGUAGGAGGUAUCGACUCCUUCUGCGUCG
rnacentral:rRNA from 1 species